AGGAAGUAGAGCUGCUCCCAUCCUCAUCCGAGGUAGAAUCCUCCAGCAACUGUUUUAACUGCUGUAUCCUAAACAUUCAAGAUUGAUCAAAGAACAGGUCUUGCUCUGUCACCUCGGAUGGAGUGCAGUGGUGCAAUCAUGGCUCACUGCAGCCUAAACCUACUGGGGUCAAGCAGAUCCUCCCACCUCAUCCUCCCCAGUAGCUGGAGCUACAGGGUCACAUCACUGAAAACUCAUUAAGGCUAAAAAAAGGAUUUUCCAAUGAGAAAAUACAGGAAAUGGCUACUUUCACAGACCGCCUUUGGGGUAGCCCUGCUCUGCAGGAGUGAUCACAGAGCUGUAACACUGCCACCUCAAAAACAAACAAACGGAAAACAGGAACUGAACAUCAGCUAAAGAAAAAACAUAUGGACACUUUACUCUUACAAUUGAGAUAUGUACUCUUUGAAGACUGGGAAAUUAAAUCCCUGAUUUUAGUUAUGAAACAUGGCUUUUUACAUAGUAAGUUUCAAAAGAGGGGGCUAAACAGAUAACAAUGUCUGCUUCAGAAAAAAAUCACUGUUCCAAGUUAUAAGCAAGGAACAUGUUAGUAAGAAUUAAUUCGUCAGACAAAUGUAGUUUAAUAAGCAUGUCGUUAACGGCAUAUACUUUGGCCAAAAGGCUUCUGGGAACGUACUUUACGUGAACAUUCGCCUCACUGGUGACUUGCUGUGUCACUGCUUUUCGCCGUCUCUGAUAAAUGUGAGUUGACACGGGGGCUUUACUUACCACUCU